UUGAUCCUGGCUCAGAAUCAACGCUGGCGGCGUGCCUAACACAUGCAAGUCGAACGCGAAAACCCCGCAAGGGGUUAGUAGAGUGGCGAACGGGUGAGUUACACGUGGGUGACCUACCUUCGAAUGGGGGAUAACGUCCCGAAAGGGACUCUAAUACCGCAUAACAUCCUGCUUUUGAACAGGUGGAGAUCAAAGCCGGUGAUCGCAAGACCUGGCGUUUGAAGAGGGGCCCGCGUCUGAUUAGCUAGUUGGUGAGGUAACGGCCCACCAAGGCGACGAUCAGUAUCCGGCCUGAGAGGUCGGACGGACACACUGGGACUGAGACACGGCCCAGACUCCUACGGGAGGCUGCAGUGGGGAAUCGUUCGCAAUGGGCGCAAGCCUGACGACGCAACGCCGUGUGGAGGAUGAAGGUCUUCGGAUUGUAAACUCCUGUUGCCCGGGACGAAUAGCUUCGACCUAACACGUCGAAGUCUGACGGUACCGGGUGAGGAAGCCCUGGCUAACUCUGUGCCAGCAGCCGCGGUAAUAAGGU
rnacentral:rRNA from 1 species